CGACCUCUGAUGGACUCCUCAGAAAGUCAAUGACAAAGAUUCCUCACCUGUACCAAUGACAGCAGUGGACGUGAAUGAAAGCUCUGGCUCCUGGCUCCAAAUCUGGACCUCAUGGUCCACUAACUGAGGCAUCUUGGGACAGAAUCUUGUCUCAGGCUCUGUUUCUCCAUCUACAUAUUGGGGACUUAAUGGUGCGAAUAAUAAAUGAGACGGUACACGUAACAGGCACAGCAGAGUACCCAACUCGAUACAUGUUAAUGGUUGGCAUUGCUGCAGCCACUGAGACUUGGUAAAUAUUUAAUACCCAUUUCUUCCUCUCUUCUUGGCCUAGAGGAGUUUGGAUAACAAGUCAGAUUGUGAUUUCGCUCUUCACUUCAGCAAUCACAGGAAGAAUCUAAGCCCAAAAGUCAUCUCUUCUGACGCCCCCGUGGUUCCCAGCAGAAGUUGCCAGCAUGGGCCUCAUGGAAAAACCAUUACAAGCAUCCCCUACUUUUCAAAAGUUCCACUUAUGCCAUUCCACUUUUACAAAAGACCUACAUUAGUACCUGUUUUUGCUCAUCGAAAGAAAUCCCAAGAGGGUUUUUACUUUUUUGGAAAAAGGCAGAAAGUUGAAGUAGUGAUCAGCCUGUGUUUUGCUUUGAGCCAUUAGAGGCAGCGCGCACCCCAGCAGCUAAAGUGGCACCACCAAGUGCCUUCGCCUGGAACUACACUCAGCAUCUCAGCACCAAGCCGCCAUAGCUCUGAACUGUGUCUGCCAGCCUCUGUGCUUGAUAUCGAUUUAUUUUAAGCGUCUGUUAGCAAGAUGGGUCCUAAGCACUUGAAGAAUAUUCCUCUUCCUCCUGGCCUCCAUGGAUUCUGAUGAGAAAUCUGCUGUCAUCUGAAUUGAUUUUCAUCUAUAGAACUCUGAUGACACGAAAGACAUACCUUUUGUUACAGUCCCACAGAUCCCCAUGGCUCUGCUUAUCUUUUUAUUUUUAUUCUAACUUUUCUCCAUUAGUCAGACUGAGUAAUUUCUAUUUUUCUACUUUACAGCUCAUUGAUUGUUUUCUUCUGUCUCCUUCAUUCUGCUGUUGAGCUCAUCCACUGAGCUUUUAAUUUCAGUUACUGUAUUUUUCAGUUCUAAAAUUUCUAUUUGAUUUUUUUUAUAUCUUCUCUUUCUUUGCUGACACUUUCAACUUAUUUGCUGAGUGUUUUUAUUUUUUCACUAGUUUAAAGUGUGUUUAUAAUGGUUUGCUGAAGCAUUUUUUAAUGAUGGCUACUGUAAAAUCUUUGUCUGAUAAUUCUAACAUCUCUGUUACUUCGAUGUUGGUAUCUACAGAUACCUCCCUGGCAGAGAGGGGUAGGAGUGGCUCAUUACUACUCGUCAUGUGGCCUCAAAGGACAUCAUCAGUGGGGGAGGGGAGGCAUUGGCUUCGUUACUGCUGGGCUCUGGUGAAAAUCGUGACCUUCCACUCUCCAUUGAGACUACUCCAGCAGGGAAGAAAUAGAAACUUCCCAGGUGGUUUCCAUCAACACCAUGUGGUGGUGGAGGGUGCUCCUUAUUUCUUGGUGUGGGUGAAUGCCUCAGCUCUAUACUCAACCUUAUCUGACACCACACUGACAGGGAGUUGGGGCACCUUAAACUUGCUGAAGAUGAAAGUCUAGGCUCUCCAUUUGGCUUCUGCUUGGUAGGAGUGCAGCCGUAGUUUUUUCUAUGGUGUUUGAUUGGAGUAGGAUAUUUACCAUCUAAACGUUUUCUGUCUUGCUAGAAUGUCCCUUCCUUCCCCUGUCCUUUGGUUAGAGAGAGCAGGCUUUUGCUGGGGCUAUUUUUGUCUGUAGUCGUUGGUGUUUUCAGUUUGCUUGGCUGCUUCAGCUCCAAGUCUGGGAUAUAUGAGGCAAAAAGUUGAUUCAGAGAAUGCAUUACUGUUUUGUUACUUGGGUUCUGAGUUCCCUAGUUUGUUUGCCUUCCCCCCACCUUUCAGAGUCUUUCUUUCUCUCUAUAUAUAUUAUACUAAAUGUCCAGGGUUUUUAGUUGGACUUAGCAGAAGGAACAGGAAGAAGUACAUGGACUUCACCUUCCUGUAAGCUGAAAUUCUGGCAUUACAUUUUUAACUAUAAGAAAUGUUCUCAUUUUAACUAACUUGUGAUCGGUGUCAGCCUGGUAGAUUAUUAAUUUUUAAAUGUGAUCAAAAUCCAAAUAAAAUAAAAGCAUCACUAAAGGGGCUGUAUUGAAUAUACCACCUAUUAAUUAUACUGAUUUUUUGAACAGUGACUAGCUUCUGUGAGCAAAUCUUGUAAUUGGAACCCUCACUGUAGCUUUCUUCUCAGAAAUCUGUGUUGAGAAAUGCUCUACUCCACUGGGCUUAAGUAGGAUUAGCAUCUAAACAUGUUGCUUAACAAAGCUAUCCUUUCUAUGCAAACUGAUUUAUAACGGGGAAAUCUACUUUUGACAUCUCUUUUUAAACAUUUUUAAUUAAUUAAUUUUGGGCUGUGUUGGGUUUUUAUUGCUGCGCGUGGGCUUUCCCUAG